UAAGUGUUACAUUCUUGUGAUCUUGACCCGAUGGUUAGUUCAAGUGAACUGAACAAUUGCUAAAACAGUGGGAUUUACGUAAAUGUGUAUAUGCACAUUAUGCUUCAUAGGUGCAUUCUAGAUAAUUCAUAUUCUUAACACAACCUAGUUCCUAAAGUAUAUUUAUGCACAUAACAAUUCCUGUCUACUCUGGGAAAUAAAGCAAUUUCUAAAGCCCCUUUUUGAAGCUGUUUCCUUUAAAAUAAUAGUUUAAAAAUUCUAAUUGCUAGUCUAGAUAGAAUUAAACCAACUCCAUACUUAGGAGUAAUUUUAUUUGACAAGUGUCUGUAAAGAUGUCUCACAGUAUGACAGCAGUGACUACUGAAGAAGGAUUUGCAUGCCUUUAAUUAGACUGUUUUUCCACUAUAAUAGUUCGUCUAAUAAGAAUUAAAAAAUAAAAUGUAAUCUGCUGCUUGUAACCCUGCCAUCUCUAACAACAGUAGUAUGUGUUUUAAAUAUAGUCCCAAUUCAUAUCUACUUUGAAUUCUUUUUUAAUAUGGUUAAUUUGGGGUAAGAAAUGGUUAAAAACAACCCAUAUAAGUGUGAUCUUCCUGCAGAAUAUAUGUGUGUUGAAACAUUUCACUGACUCUUCUUAUCUGCUGCUAACAGCCUUAUGUAAGGGUCCAUGCGAGCUCCUGACAUUUUGAGUGCUGUGUUGAUUUAGAUCAGUUUCAAGCAUGAUCAGACAUUUGAUUUUCAUCUAGCAUUGUCACUGUUUAUUCCAGGCCCUCCUGGUAUUUCUGCAUAUAUGGUAUUUUCCUUCCUCAUGGAAAAAUAGCUCUUAUCCUGUCAGGGAGGAAAGUUUAUAAUAAUUGAUGAUACAGAGGUUGGUUAGAGGCCACUUGGAAUGCUUUUAAGUCCUAAAGACUGAUUUCUCAGAAAUUGCAAUGGUUGGAUAACCAUGCCAGGACAAAGACCACAGAAAUGGUACUGCAGAUGCCAGCAGCCCUUGCUUCACUGGGCAUCUCUUUGUAGGAAUUCUGCUCGUCCACAGAUGAACAUAGUCGAAUCUCACGUGUCCUUAACUGACUUUAAAAAUAAAUAAUAAUAAUAAAAAAAUGUUAAUUGCAUCACCAUCUGGCUACUCCCAAGGGCCACACGCUCACUCUACUCAAGUGCCACAGGACUCUCCGUUGUUACAACAUUGUUACUCUGCUGUUACAAAAUGACAGUCCCUUCCUUUAGUCUUCUGUACCUUCCCUGCAGCAAGGCAAACUGCUGGCAGUUUUCCCUACUGGUGAGGAACCGAAGGAACUUGGAAGCUCUCCGUUAUUUUCUCUUCAGUUCCUUCAGAGCUCCAAUGGGAAAGGGAUGUCUCGGAGCACAAUCCUGCAGGUUUCUGAGCUGGCUCACUCUAGGGCAGGGUUGGCCUUUGGACUGGAAGUUAUGUAGCAGUAAUUAGUUCUUGAAGGCUGGGCUAUUAUCCCAAAAUAUCUGUUAUCAACUGCCUAGUGUAGGCAUCCAGGCAGGACUAGCAGAACCUGCAGAACCUCCUCAGCCUGUGACCAAUGUUGUUCAAACACAGUUCUGCAGAGUUGGUUUUCAUAAGUACUGUUAUCUUGAUCCCAGACAAACAACUAUAAAGUCACAUUUGGCUUCUUUUACUACAGCUUCUACUCAAAAGAAGUAUAGGGACUUGUGUCAAGUGACAAAUCUCUACUCAUUUUAAUUUCCCCAAAUGCAAAAAUAUUCCCCUCUACAUCAUCAGGUUACAGGUUAUCCUUAGUCUUUUUAUUGCCUUGAGGAGGCUGGUUCUUACUUUCAUGGUGAAGGUGCUGAAUCCCCGAAGAGAGCAGCUGUGUAGUGUACAAACAUCUGUAUAACUUAUUGUUAUUAUUAUUUUUGGCAAAUGGAUCUUAAGAGUUCUGCUAGUGGGAGCCAUGUUGGUGUGUCUGAACUCUUUGUCCUAUCCCUUCCUGCUUCGCUCCUUGCAAAAGCCCAGGGACUUUAGUAUGAGCAGGUUUUUGUCCCAUUGGCAACAUCACUUUAUUUUAAAGAUGGUAUUUCUGAAUCAAAGUUUAGCAGGUAGUUUUUCAAACAACCACCAAAUGAAUAAUACAUAGAAAUAGAAAGAGGCGUCUUAAGAAAUGUAGAUAAAAUUAAGCUAGCAGCUGUUAAAUAUUGCAGCAGUCAUUACAUCCAGAAGUCAUCUGCCAUCUAUCCAGGAUCCUUAUACAUUCUAUGUAUAAUGGAAAUGACAUUUGAUUUAACCUUGCCACAACAUGAUCAGUUUGUGUCUCAGCAAGCUCAGCAUUUGACACCAUCUUUUGGCUGUGACAUUUGCCUCAAUAAAAUGCAAUUAAUGAACCAGCAGUGUGUAAAGAUGUAAUUUGUAGCUCAGAUGGUAAAAAUGUCUUAAAAUCUUUAAAUAAACUGUGUAACAGAUGUAUCAGUGGAUGCUAAAACCUGAAAUUUAUUUUUUAGAACACUGUCAUAUGUCAUGUAUUCUUUUUCCUAUCUAACAGCUUGCUGGUGCAUUCAUUCAUUGAUAGAAUAUAAAGCUGGUAAAAAUAAAGCCAUGCAGGUAGACUAUUUUAUACUUAUAUAUGUUUAUGCUUGUAUAUAAACAUAAAUAUAUUUGUACUAUAUAUAUGUAGUAUAUAAGUAUGAUGCUUAAAUUUAUACUUAUGUAUAUAUAAUAUUAUGGAGGGACUAGGGAUGGAAAUAUCCUGGGCACAAGGGAUAUAUUUUUCUCCUUGGGAUGGGGUUUUGUCCCAUCUGUGAUGCAGAAAGUUGUUAAAGUAGUCAGAUUUAAAAUAAGAAAGCUUGUAGAAAAAUAGCACUUUCUUUUUCUAACAUCCUGGAGAAAGGCAUUUUGCCUUUGGUUGCAGGGGAGGCUUGGCAGGUUUCUCUGGGCAGGCAAUGGCACUAUUAUUCUCAGAUGUGACUGGAGAGGCUGCUUCCAGGCCACAUGUUAAAUGCAGCUAACUCAAGGGACGUGUCACUUGAUUAACAGAGCAGAUUCCUGUAUUAUUCCUCUCCAUCUAUCUCCUUCCUGCCUGGUCAGAUCUAUGAAAUAUGUUGGCAUCAGAUUUGGACAAUAAGAAAAAUCCCAGCCACUUUGAUUUUAAAAUAUUUCCUCAAGUUUAUGGUGGGGGAAAGUCUUCACAUUUAUCUACGAGAAAGGAUAGUUAAGAACCUGUGCUUAGAAUACUGGGGAGGGAGGAGAGGGAGUUGUAUAAAAUAGUGGAAAAUUAAAACCUAUCUUGUACAAUUUGGUCAAGUAAAUCUCUAUUUUUUCCAAUGUUAAUAAGAAAAUGUUUGGGAAGGAUCAUUGGAUGAGUUUUUGUAGGCAGAUAUGCAAAGUCUUCAUGCAAUUGGGAAAAAAA